AAAGGGUCUAAAGUAAAUACUUUGACAAAAUUUUAUGAAAAUUAAACGAGCCAAAUUAAUUUUAGUGAAAGUGUUGGGUACCACCUUAAUAACAAUUAUAAUUGCUCUUUAUUUUGGAUAGAUUAUCAUAAAAAGGAAUUAUGUUGCUGUAUAUUAGUUAUUAUAAGAAGAAUGAAUUUAACAUGUGAUCAGAAUCUUUCUCAGUAUGGUUAUGAGAUGUACUAUUUGUUGUUCAGAUUCGGUGUAGUCGUUAAUAGAACAAAUAUUAGUCAUUAUAAUGACACCAUUUCUCUUUUGAUUUUUAUCUCAAAAAGAAGCAUUAAAUAAUUUGUCUGCUACAUUAAUUCCAUAUUUGAUUUAAGUUGUUAUAAUUUUAACACGAUCAUAAAUUUUUCAUUCCUUAAUUUACUCUGCUAAUUUAAUUAUUUUAAUUUGUUGGUUUAGAUAUGAUGCUUUAAAUUCAAAUAAUUGAUUAAGAAAAUCAUCGUUUAUAGUAUUAUAAUAAAACUGAAUAGAAUCUAUAAAAUAUAAUAUGCAGAUGAUUUUCAUAUUGCUACAUUGCUAGAGAAAUUACUUCAAAAACUUUUUCUUAAAGCCACCAUUUUACUAUAGGAAGCGAUAUCACAUACAUAGCACUAGAUAUGGUCAUACGAUCAUGUUGUUAAUGUACUACAAUGUAUGUACUAUAUAAGUAAUUUUGUUACUGUAUUUGUUUUAUACCUGUGAUAUUUUCAACCUAGACUGUGAUUAAUUAGUUUAAUUUUUUAGUUUAAUUUAUUCAGUUUAUUGAAUUGUGAUUUUAC
rnacentral:lncRNA from 1 species